UUAAAAUCAACAUCUUUCCACAAUCUACAUAAGAUAAAACCAUAUUAUACAUUACCCAAAUAGUCCCCAAAGUCUCAACUAUUUGGUGUUAAAAAAUUCCAUAUAUCAACUUACACAACACAAGACACAAUAAAAGUGAGCAAAUUCAUCAAAAACUAUAUAAAGGCCACAGUGAUCAACACUUGAGCAUUCAGCAUUGAAAAGUCAAACUUUCUUCCCAUGUUCCCUUCAAUUCAUACUAAAAAUCUUGUGCACAAAGUUACAGAAUGGAGCAUGAUUUUUGACCCCUUGGCUUCUUUUUCUUCUUUUGCUUUUGUGGCUGAAGAACCACUUUAAUGGCUGCAUCAAAAACCACUUUCACGUAUUGCAAUAACCAGAUGCAUGCAAAAAGGCAAAAUUGCAUCCAAAUAGUUUAGAUAAAAAUAUUUAUUCCUAACGUAUAUAUGGUGAUUUAAACCACUUCCGUUAAGUCCUACAAAUUAAUGAGCACGGUGGGAAAAUUUUGGAAAGAUCUGGAUGUAAAAAUGGAAUAAAUACAAUCUGAAUGUAUAAACCCACCACAUCUCCAAUUUAUUGAUUAAGAGUUGUUUUAUCUAUUAAGUAGAAAUGAAACAGCUACAUAUAUCUGAAUAUAUAACGUUUUAUAUACAUUAAGUCCAUUAAGACAAAAAGAAACACCACCUCAUUAGUCGUAUAAUAACACAAGCUCAAGACCCUAACUUUAUUCCAAUAAAUGAUUACAAGAGGUUAAGAUUUAUUACCUUGUGCUUCAAGAACUGGAUAGUCCUCUUCAGAAAUUGCAGCCCCAAUAUCCCUUUUUAAGUCUAGCUAGAAUAAGAACUUACCUGAAAAGAAAAUAUGGUUAGCCAAAUAUGUGGUAUCAGGGCCUUCAUUUUCUUACCACCUAAAUGUCCAAUUUACCCCCUUAGCAAUUAUUCUUGAUAUCUAUAUUGCUACUAUUUUUCUUGUCUACUUAUUUAAAUUAUGGUCUAAUUACCAUAGCAUAAAAAUUGAAAUGCACUAUAAUUGUUAAAUAUGUUUAACAUUAUAAUAUAUAAAUUAAUUAUUUUAUAGAAUGUAUUUUGAACUACAUUGUACUCUAUGCAACGAUUAUGUAACCUUGCAAUACAUUAAAAAAAAUUUACAAGUCUUUUUACCUAAAAAAAAUUAUGCAAGGUUAUUAAGGCAUUUUUCUUUGAAAAAUCUAUCCAACUAUAGCACUGUACUUCUAAUGUUAUCUUAUUAAGGCAUUGCAUUUUCAAAAAUACUACUCAAUUAUGGCAUUAUACUUUGAUUUUUUUUCUUAUUAAGGACUACUUUGAAAAUUCAACCCAGUUCUAGCAUUGUACUUUGAUCUUUUUGCUAAUAAGGCGUUUUACUUUAAAAGUUAUACCCAAUUAUAGCCUUGUGCUUUUGAUGUUUUCUUAUCAAGCCAUUGGUUUAAAAAAAUCUACUCAAUAUAGCAUUCUACUUUCAAUGUUUUCUUACUAAGGCAUCAUAAUGGUAUACUCUACAUCUAGAACAACAGAACUAGGGCACAAACUAAGGCUCUCCGAAAGGAAAUGAGUUUCCCAAACAAUCAAAAGCUAAUUUUUAACCAACCUCACCCCUAUUUAUACUGUUGCAACAGAUAAAGGACAGAAAAUGACAGAAAUACCCUUAGGCCUGUUAACACUUAUUCUAUAUUCAGUAAAUACUCUUAAACAAGUCAUCACUAAAUCUUUGACCUUCUUGUGUAAGGAAACUUCCAACCUCAGGGGAGGUUUACCACCCAGUUUGAAGAUCAAUUGGUUAUAGUAUUGCACUUGGAAAAUUUCUUUUUAAGGCAUUGUACUUUGAAAAUCUAAUACAACUAUAGCAUUUUUAUUUCCAAUUUUUCUUAUUUAAGCUAGUAUAUAAAUAAAUGCAAAUUUUUAUUUCUAGAAUUUAACCUAGUAUAUAGACCAACCAUCUAUUUUUGAUAAGAACAACUCACCUUGAACCAAUUAAGGGCUUCCCUUCAGAUAUUUAUUGCCAAAAUCCAAAAGUUGCCAUCCAUGACUUAGCGCGUUACUCCAACUCCCCACCUGAUAACGUUUUUUUUCCUUCCAAUUUCCAAAUGUUCUAUAAACGAAUUAAAAUAAAAAGAUUGUUAUUUAACACAGUUGAGGCUUUAGUGCAACAGAUAAAAUGAAUAUAUAUAUAUAUAUACACACACAACAAUGUACUUACAUUCGGAAAUCCAUGUGUGGGGAAAAAUCUGUACAGAAGGUGAUCUAAAGAUUUAUAAUCAAAAGGUUAUACAUGGUGUUGUAGAAUGCAAACUCUCUAAAAAAUGCCUGCAAGUGUGACUCAAAAUAGGACGUUUUAAUUGAAAGGUUUAUUUAUUAAAAGAUUUAGUUUCUAAAGUUUACUCAGGUAUAACAGAGAGCACAGAAAACAUCACAAAGAACAUUAAUAAAUCGAAGGUUUACUCAGGCAUAACAGACCAAACCUGAUUCACAAAUGGUCUGUGCAAAAUCUAGAAAUGAUCAUGUAAUGAAUAUAUGAUGUCUAUUUGUUAAACAGAUUAUUAGAUGUUAAAUUCAUAUCCAAAUUUACAUGCAACGAACAAUAAUGAGGAUCUAUAUUUGUGGUCCCAUCAAGAAAGCAUAACUUAAUAACUUACUUUGCAAACAACACAGUAAAACAUCUACAGGGUAAUAAAAAUAAAAACUGUUAGCCUUAUGGGUAUUAAGUAUAGGACAGCAUCAAAAUAAUUAGUCAACUAACUGUAGUUAAUAGCCUUUUCCAUGUGGUUAAUUAUUGUAUUAUUAGCAAAGGUACACGUGACAACUUGUUGUAUUUGGACAUAGAUCAUAUUAUUAAGUGAAAUAUAACCAAAUACCAUAGACAUGCUAAAGAUAAAUUUUUAGGAAUUAGAAUUUACUAUCAGAAAAGAGGGGCAUGGUAUCUUACUUGUACUCUGCACAAAUUGCACAAUUUCACGAGUGUUUUUUAUUGGUUAGACUUCCUUUGAUGUGUCAUGUGUCAGAGUAGUAGGUUUUACCAUACAAGGAGGAAUUGCCAGACCAAUCAUCAUGUCCCUUGAGACUCCCUUGAA
rnacentral:lncRNA from 1 species